CUCUAUCCUGAUGAUACCUUGAUGCACGUUCUCUGGUCUCCACUUCAUACAAACAAUUGUAUGAAUUAAUCUCUGAGAAGUGCAGGUUGAUGCAGCGCUAUGAGGCUUGGAUGCGGUCCUGGAGGCAUAAAAUUCACAUGAUGUUCACAAGCGUGGUGGUUGAAAGGUGUAGAUGGAUCUAACUAAUGCUGCCAAGUAAUAUACUGACCAGUUCUAUGUUAAUUUGUUUGAUGGAUGUCCCUGAUUUGAUUGCAAAUAAUUGCAUGAGCUUUGUGACUAAUUUGUUUUCUCACAUACGUAAGUAAUUUUACUGCUGAAAUUUAAUUAAUGCCUCAGCUUGCACUUAGAUAUGUUGAUUGGUUCCCAAUGAGCUCAAAAUAGAGAAGCGCCAUGGUGUACCAUAGCUUGAGGAGAUGCAUAUGUCGUCAUUUUUUUGUGUAUUGCUGGAACAUGGUUCGCGAACCUGAGCAUCAUCCUGCUAGGCUCCCUUCCUCUGUUUCUGAUCGUUUGUUGUGACGAUAUAAUGGAGAAGAACUUUUGUUGAGUAAACUAAUACUACUGCUGUUGCUAAUCCUUUCUGUAUUGCUACAUGUAGUGUAUAAUAUGAAGGUGGACAGAUCAGCAUAAUUACUAAGAGAAUUUGAUACAUUUCAAAGAGACGAUUCAAAAGAUAUAUGGAUUUAUAUGGGUGCGUGACAAGUAUACUGCAAUGAUGAUGCCGAUGCUCCGGUUCAUGAUGAUGGUGAUGGAACUUUCAGUUUUAGUUAAGUUGUAGGGAUGUUGUUCCUGUUGGAUGAUGUUCCUCGGUUAAGUUUAGUUAAGUUGUAGGGAUGUUGAUGGAUGCUUUCAAUAUAAGUUUUGAUGUUAAGAAUACAUUUGGAUGAUGUCCCUCUUGUAAUAUCCACUGUUGUAAUCUAACUGUUUCAUCCAGUAUAUGAUAUAUGAUUUCUUUCUGUCA